AGGCCCAUAGCUCAAUUGGUAGAGCAUUGGUCUCCAAAACCAAAGGCUGUCGGUUCGAGUCCGGCUGGGCCUG
rnacentral:tRNA from 1 species